UGAACGCUGGCGGCGUGCUUAACACAUGCAAGUCGAACGAACCUUCGGGUUAGUGGCGGACGGGUGAGUAACGCGUGGGAAUCUGCCCUCAGGAGGGGGAUAACGGCCGGAAACGGCCGCUAAUACCCCAUAUGCCGAGAGGUGAAAUGAAUUUCGCCUGAGGAUGAGCCCGCGUCUGAUUAGCUAGUUGGUGAGGUAAGAGCUCACCAAGGCAUCGAUCAGUAGCUGGUCUGAGAGGAUGAUCAGCCACACUGGGACUGAGACACGGCCCAGACUCCUACGGGAGGCAGCAGUGGGGAAUUUUCCGCAAUGGGCGAAAGCCUGACGGAGCAACGCCGCGUGAGGGAUGAAGGCCUCUGGGCUGUAAACCUCUUUUAUCAAGGAAGAAGAUCUGACGGUACUUGAUGAAUAAGCCACGGCUAAUUCCG
rnacentral:rRNA from 1 species